GACAGAGGAGGCAAGCGUUAUACGGAGUUAUUGGGCGUAAAGCGUCCGUAGGUGGUUUGACAAGUCUGGGGUUAAAGCCCGGAGCCCAACUCCGGAUCGGCCCUGGAAACUGUCAGACUUGAGUAAGGUAGGGGUUGCGGGAAUUCCCGGUGUAGCGGUGAAAUGCGUAGAUAUCGGGAAGAACACCAGCGGCGAAAGCGCGCAACUGGGCCAUUACUGACACUGAGGGACGAAAGCUAGGGGAGCGAAGGGG
rnacentral:rRNA from 1 species